rnacentral:rRNA from 1 species
GACGAACGCUGGCGGCGUGCUUAACACAUGCAAGUCGAACGGAAAGGCCCUUCGGGGUACUCGAGUGGCGAACGGGUGAGUAACACGUGGGUGAUCUGCCCUGCACUUUGGGAUAAGCCUGGGAAACUGGGUCUAAUACCGAAUAGGACCACGCGCUUCAUGGUGUGUGGUGGAAAGCUUUUGCGGUGUGGGAUGGGCCCGCGGCCUAUCAGCUUGUUGGUGGGGUAAUGGCCUACCAAGGCGACGACGGGUAGCCGGCCUGAGAGGGUGACCGGCCACACUGGGACUGAGAUACGGCCCAGACUCCUACGGGAGGCAGCAGUGGGGAAUAUUGCACAAUGGGCGCAAGCCUGAUGCAGCGACGCCGCGUGAGGGAUGACGGCCUUCGGGUUGUAAACCUCUUCCACCAGGGACGAAGCGUAAGUGACGGUACCUGGAGAAGAAGCACCGGCCAACUACGUG